rnacentral:rRNA from 1 species
GUCUAUGGCCAUAAACUCUGAAUGUGCCCCGUCUCAUCAGAAUUCAGAGAUUAAGCAGAGUCUGGCCUGGUUAGUACUUGGGUGGGAGACUGGGAGCUGAAGGCA